rnacentral:rRNA from 1 species
GGGCGAGAGCCUGAUCCAGCCAUGCCGCGUGCAGGAAGACGGCCCUACGGGUUGUAAACUGCUUUUAUACGGGAAGAAACCCAUCUACGUGUAGAUGGCUGACGGUACCGUAAGAAUAAGGACCGGCUAACUCCGUGCCAGCAGCCGCGGUAAUACGGAGGGUCCGAGCGUUAUCCGGAAUUAUUGGGUUUAAAGGGUCCGUAGGCGGGCCGUUAAGUCAGGGGUGAAAUACUACGGCUCAACCGUGGAACUGCCCUUGAUACUGGCGGUCUUGAAUUAUAGUGAAGUUGCCGGAAUAUGUAGUGUAGCGGUGAAAUGCAUAGAUAUUACAUAGAACACCGAUUGCGAAGGCAGA